rnacentral:rRNA from 1 species
GAGCUUGCUCCCUGAUGUUAGCGGCGGACGGGUGAGUAACACGUGGGUAACCUGCGUGUAAGACUUGGAUAACUCCGGGAAACCGGAGCUAAUACCGGAUGCUUGUUUGAACCGCAUGGUUCAAACAUAAAAGGUGGCUUCGGCUACCACUUACAGAUGGACCCGCGGCGCAUUAGCUAGUUGGUGAGGUAACGGCUCACCAAGGCAACGAUGCGUAGCCGACCUGAGAGGGUGAUCGGCCACACUGGGACUGAGACACGGCCCAGACUCCUACGGGAGGCAGCAGUAGGGAAUCUUCCGCAAUGGACGAAAGUCUGACGGAGCAACGCCGCGUGAGUGAUGAAGGUUUUCGGAUCGUAAAGCUCUGUUGUUAGGGAAGAACAAGUACCGUUCGAAUAGGGCUGUACCUUGACGGUACCUAACCAGAAAGGGACGGCUAACUACGUGCCAGCAGCCGCGGUUAUACGUAGGUGGCAAGCGUUGUCCGGAAUUAUUGGGCGUAAAGGGCUCGCAGGCGGUUUCUUAAGUCUGAUGUGAAAGCCCCCGGCUCACCGGGGAGGGUCAUUGGAAACUGGGGAACUUGAGUGCUCCGGUU